rnacentral:lncRNA from 1 species
AUUCCAUUUAUUAAACUUGAAGUAGACCUUCGAGAAUCAAUUAUUAUUGAUUCUCAAAAUGCAAAUAUUAUUAUAGUUAUCCCUUUAUCCUAGAUUGUUAAUUGGUUGAAUUAUUUGAAAUCCUUGAGAUAAACUAAAAUAGACAGGAAUACUUAAUACAGAAUGAUUAACUUGGGUAGAUAGACAGAUUAAACUUAGCUUUUGUUUAAAAGCUGGAAUUCUAAGUAGUCAACAUCAGAUGAGUCAAAUGAAAAUUGAUACCCAUUGUAGAACUAAUGAAUGGUCUUGCAGUUUAAGUCCUUUCUUAACUCUGUCAUCUUUUACUUUGUAAUGACUAAAAAGCUACAAUUACUAUCACAGGAGUCUUCAGUAUGUUACCAUGCCAAAACUGGGAAAUGUGGCUGGCUGUUUCCUAAUGGAAAAUUGUUAGCUUCUUGGCGACAUGAAGAAAAGGAUGUUGGGAUUGCCCUUUCAGACAUCAAAAUUCAUUACAAAACUUUAGAAAUUAAGAUACUGUGGUACCGGGAACGAGAAAGAUCAAAAAAUAGACGGAAGAGAACAGAGAAAAUUGAAAGACAUAUCUAUAUGUCUAUAUCUGCACAUACAAAUAUGCAUAUGCAAUCACACAUAGUUGAUAAAUCUCACAAGAAAUAAAAUUUAAAAGAAAGAAUCAAAGUGAAUAUGGUGUUAGUAAAAAAAAAAGGCUAUGAAUUUUUGAAUACUUUUUCCCAAGGUGGUGACAUUCCAGCAUAUACUACAAACAAAAGAGGCCAUUCACCGGAUGAUAUCAUCCCUUCAAAAAUAAACUUAUCCUCAAUUUCCUGAUUAAAAUCAGACAUUCUUCUGCUUGACAGAGGUCCUUACUUCCUGUUUUCUCUAGCAUUUGCCAAGUGGCUCUGAGGACUUCGGUGUAAGAACACUCACUUAACUGUUCUGUAGUGCUGACUUUGAAUACUUGAACAAUAACCCACAUUUCUAAAUUUUCAAUUUAAAUAAUGGUGCUUUUUGUUUUUAAUUUUGCCUCAUUUUCGAAUCCUAAGGCUAUUAGAACAACACCAAGAUGACAGUGUUUCUGCUGUAACUUCCGUCUGCUUCUGCUUCUCAAAGUUGUGUAGUAUAAUUAUUUCUAUAGCAACCAGCCGAGGAAAUGCCUUGCCAGCACACAGACUCAAAAGAGAAACAUGCUGAGACAGGCUCAGCCGUGGGGCUUCGGAGCGCCUGGAGUUUCCAGCAUUAAACGCUACAGCUGCAGAAGCCCAUGCUGUUACCUUCUCUCCUCAUCCGUUUUUAGUAUUUGUAAUAUUUCUGGCCCUCCCACAUCUUUGGCAAUGUUUUCUAACGUCCCUCUUCUCUUUCUUCAGUGUUUUUCAUAAGAACGGUCCUUUCAUUUCUGUUUUAUGACGUAUAGUCUUCUGAUAAUAACACGAUAAGCAUUGUGGUGGUUCUGAACAUACAACGAAAUUAGAAAAAGUGGAAUAAUAAAUAAUUCACUUGUUUUCCUUCAGCUUCAUAAGGUUUCUACUAAUCUGUUUUCCUUAUGGGCCAAACUCUUAGAGAAAUUUGAUCAGGUGCCUUUAAAAAUAUAGAAACACGUUCAGAGAACUUCAAAGAAUACAAAAAAUAAUGUAUUUCUUUUCCAAAAUAACUUCACUUUCAUCAUAAAACAUGAAAAAUGGUGAAAGAAUCAUUUCCAAAAGAAAACCUAAACUUGUCUGAUUUCAGGACACACUUUUAUCUUUAAAAAAUUUUUCCUUACUGUUGUGAAAGGAAAAGAAAAGCUCAGGACCCCAAAUUCACUAUGCCAAAAGGGAAGAGUUAAACUUGGAAGCUGAGUCAUAAAAAUAAAUAAAUAAAUAAAUAAAUAAAUAAAACAACCCAAAUCUGCCUCUCCUUUUGUUCCUAAAUUGACAGCUAAUGUCUUCAGAGGGGGCAUCCCUCACCCUGACAGUGUAAAUUAACAGUUUAUCUUCACUUCAAGGGUACAGAAGUGUAGGAAAAUGACACGGUGAAAUAGAUGGGUACUCACUGGCAGCAGUUUCAUCAAUUCUAGCUUCAAAUUGUCACCUAAUGCCAUUGUUUUAUUCUGUAACCUAUAGAUUUACUUUGUAAUGAUUGAUUCUGUAAAAUUGAAUUAUAAGGUUUAUUUUUGUUAAAGUUUUUUUUUUGUUUUUUUUUACUACUUUUAGUUUUUUUUGGGUUUUUUUUGGUUUUUUUUUUUUUUUUUUUUUUUUUUUUGUGACAGAGCCUUGUUCUGUCGCCCAGGCUCUGGAGUGCAUUGGUGCGGUCUCAACUCAUAGCAACCUCCACCUCCUGGGUUCAAGUGAUUCUUCUGCCUCAGCCUUCUGAGUAGCUGGUAUUACAGGCACCUGCCACCACGCCCAGCUAAUUUUUGUACUUUUAGUAGAGACAGGGUUUCACCAUGUUGCCAGGCUAGUCUCAAACUUGUGACCUUGGCCUCCCUAAAUGCUGGGAUUACAGGUGUGAGCCACUGCGCCUGGCCUUAAUUUUCAUUUUCAAUGAAAGUUUUGUUAAGUUUAAUUUUAAAAAAACUUGAUGAUUCAAGGUUUCAUUACACAAACUCAGGUAAAGUUACUGGAUGAAUGAAUUCUUUUGUAUACCUAAUCCUGUAAACAAACCAGUAAAGGAAUAGAGUAGCCUCUAUAUUUAAAAUUCUGUCCCCAAUAUAUGAAACUGACAUAGUGCCAAUGCAAAUUAGCUCCCUUGCUGAACAUUUUCAUUCACACUGUACACACCACAGUGAGCCAGGACAUUUCUUUCUCAGUAAGAUGUUCAGAACUCUGGCCAACAACUGGCUUGAUG